UACAGGGGGCCCGAGCGUUAUACGGAAUCACUGGGCUUAAAGGGGUGCGUAGGCGGAUCAGGAAGUGUUUCGUGAAAACCCGCGGCUCAACCGAUGUGGUCUCGCAGUCGAUACGGGCAGGCUAGAGUUCGGUAGGGGAGACUGGAAUUCCUGGGUGUAGCGGUGAAAUGCGCAGAUAUCAGGAGGAACACCGGUGGCGAAGGCGGGUCUCUGGGCCGAUGACUGACGCUGAGGAGCGAAAGCGUGGGGAGCGAACAGG
rnacentral:rRNA from 1 species